rnacentral:rRNA from 1 species
AUUGAACGCUGGCGGCAUGCUUUACACAUGCAAGUCGAACGGCAGCGCGGGCUUCGGCCUGGCGGCGAGUGGCGAACGGGUGAGUAAUGCAUCGGAACGUGCCCAGUAGUGGGGGAUAGCCCGGCGAAAGCCGGAUUAAUACCGCAUACGACCUGAGGGUGAAAGCGGGGGGCCGAAAGGCAUCGCGCGAUUGGAGCGGCCGAUGUCGGGUUAGCUAGUUGGUGGGGUAGAGGCUUACCAAGGCGACGAUCCGUAGGUGGUCUGAGAGGACGACCAGCCACACUGGGACUGGGACACGGCCCAGACUCCUACGGGAGGCAGCAGUGGGGAAUUUUGGACAAUGGGGGCAACCCUUAUCCAGUCAUGCCGCGUGCGGGAAGAAGGCCUUCGGGUUGUAAACCGCUUUUGUUCGGGAAGAAAUCCUCUGGGCUAAUACCCCGGGGGGAUGACGGUACCGGAAGAAUAAGCACCGGCUAACUACGUG